rnacentral:lncRNA from 1 species
AACUGAAAUAGAAGUUUGAAGUGGGAUAGUCAACUGGAAGUGGAGCAGGAGGGGUCAAGCCCAUCUGUGGCAGGACCUAGGAUGGAGUGGUCACCACCUCUGCCUUCUCCAUUUUUGUCUCUUCUCUUCAAGUAUGGUUACAACCUCAGCUAACUUGGUUUUGCCAGAAAGAGGAAGCAGAGGGAGAGGCAUUCCAUGAUCAUGCCUUAUUACCAGUGAUGCAGGAGGGUCCUCUGGAGCCAUCAGGACCUGGGAGGAUCUUCUAUCCCUUUGCAUCAAAAGGCUGCAACAAGCAAGGCUGGAAUUAAUGCCAGGAGCUGAAAUCCUAUAUUUUGAUUCCCCACUAAUCCAUUUUAGGAUUACUUGGGCCUUUUUAUUUUGGGGCUGUUCAAGAUUCCUUUUGGCUUUCUUGAGCUCAGUCUCCUAGCUCUUCUAGAUUUGCUCUUAACUGUGCAUAAUGCCUCUUCCAGUUCCUAAGAUAUUGUGGUUCAAGAAAAAAUAACUGAGGAAGUUGUUGUAUACCAUGGGAAAAACUUAGUGAUUGUGGCUGAGUCCCAAUUAUUCUCUGCAAGUCUUAGGUGCUUUACAAAAGAAAACAUGGACUUGGGUUAUUAAAGGAACACACCACAACAGCCUCAACUCAAGAAUUUCUGCUCUAUGAGGCACUGUAUUUUUUUUUUUCUGAAAAAUCAUCAGAUAAAUGAAAUUACACAAGC